ACCACCUACUUUGUUCUACUCGUGCCUUAGCACUCCCCCUGUGCCCUGUACUUCCAGAAGUUUAGCCCUUUGUUAGGGCAUCUAGUCUAUAACAUGGCAAGCUACUGUCUAUAACUGAUUUUAGUUAUAUUCUGCUGGAUUUGUACCUCACUCUACUAUAGCACGCUUUAAAAAUGCACAGGGGAAUUGUAGGCAGAGAGGGCACAAAGUACAGCAAAAGAAAAGUACACAGCAAGUUGUGUGUCUGGGAGGGUCAGGAAGGAGUCACACACGGUGACACCACAUCCAAGGGCAAAAUUACUUUCUUUAUUGAACAUAUUUUUUAAUCCCGCCUCUCUCCUUCAAAAGGACCCAAGUUAUGAUCGUUCUUGAUACAAAGCCUCCGGAACUACUGAGUACAGUACUGUGCGCCAGUUAUCCGCCCGAUGCCCUUAUUAGGAGGAAAGGCCCUAAACCUCCCCUUCGAUGAGGAAAUCAGAUCAUAAAUAUCCUCCCCGCCACCCACCCGCACCCAGAGGUGGUUUAAGCGUGCAAGAGGCGGCCUGAGGCGUCCUCCCGGGAGCUGCCUCAGGACCCAGCCUCUCUCUCCAAAAAGCCGCUCCCUUCGACCGUCUCGGCACCUGCUCGAACUUGAGCGGCUCUUUGCUUUAUGAACAGCGAGGGCUCCUCCGUCGUCUCCGGACAGCCCCGAACGAGGAGAGUCGUGGGGAAGGUUUGAGAGAGAGAAAGAAAAGAGUUCACAGGACCAGCGAAACCGCGCCUUUGGAGGAAGAGGCGGCAGCAGCAGCCGCCAUCGCGCGGAUUUUCACUUUCGCUACUUCGAGCGGCCGGGACGCCGGGACGACGCGACGGCCAUGUGGGGACUGUUCUGGGCUCUGCUCCUGCUUCUUCGGUUGGAGCUUCCGCUCGGGGCCUCGCCAGAAGAACAGUGUCAUCAGAAUACCAUCGGUGGCAUUGAAGGAAAAGAUAUUGCUUUACACCCAAAUGUUAGUGGCUCGCCAGCAGAGAUUACCUGGAUGAAAGACAGAAAUAUAGUGGCUACGUCAAUUGAUGGUUUUCCAACAAAGAACAAUUUAGAGCUUAUCGUUAAUAAUGGUAGUUUGAUUCUCCACAACCUGUCACUGAAAGAUGUUGGAUGUUACAAAGCUGAAAUUGAAGUUAAAGAUGAAGUAACAGAAACAUUUUUUGGUUUGAAAGUAUUAGUACCACCUAGUUUAACCUGCUCUACCAAUGAUAGCAUCCAAAUAAGCUGCAAUCUGCCCACCAACAUGCUGGAUCUGUCACCAUCAUAUGAGUGGAAAGGCUUUGAAAAAGAUGAAAUUAUUCAUUCUAAUUGGUCUUUUGUGCAACUUCACAAAAACAUAGACCCUUCUAAGAAAAUCACGUGCAUCAUUACUGCUUUCAAUGUAAAUGUGAGCAACUCCAUCAAUUUGAAUGAAUGUAUCCGGAAAGCCACUGCUCAGAAUGAAGGAGGAAUCUGUCCAAAUGCAAAGUAUGAUCCUAUGCCAUCUCCAGAAGGAGGAAACAUAAGUGAUAAUCAGCCAGAUGUUAACCUAGACUCAGCUGAGAACUUGGAAGGAAGCAGAGAGGAAUCGUCUCCACCAGAAAGUUGAGAACAAAAAGGAGAAUUCCAGGGUUGGAACUGAGGAACUUUGCAAAGCAACACACUUGUUUCGUUCCAGCCGUCUGCUCUUGGCACACAUGUGCAGCGCUUCAGGAGUAAUGGCCUACAGAGGGACUCAUCCAUGGGUGAACCAUAUCAUCUUCUUAUGAGUGGCCUAGCAGUAUUCAUGCUUAUCUCCUCAAAAAAGACACUCAUGUUUUGCACUGAAAACUGAAAAAGGGGAUUUUUGCACUGAAAAGGUGGAUAUUUUCUCAAACACCUGUUUUUAUAUGUAAUACUUUAAAACAUUUUACAUUUAGUGCUUUUUUAAAAUUUAUUUACAGAGCUAACAGAAGGAAAACCCACUAGUCAAUAUCUGGAAGGCUAAAAUAAAAUAAAAUGUGCUUGCUGCCA
ensembl:lncRNA uncharacterized LOC110076964